CUACGGGAGGCAGCAGUGGGGAAUAUUGGACAAUGGGGGGAACCCUGAUCCAGCAAUGCCGCGUGUGUGAAGAAGGUCUUCGGAUUGUAAAGCACUUUCACUAGGGAAGAUGAUGACGGUACCUAGAGAAGAAGCCCCGGCUAACUUCGUGCCAGCAGCCGCGGUAAUACGAAGGGGGCUAGCGUUGCUCGGAAUGACUGGGCGUAAAGGGCGCGUAGGCUGUUUGUACAGUCAGAUGUGAAAUCCCCGGGCUUAACCUGGGAACUGCAUUUGAUACGUGCAGACUAGAGUCCGAGAGAGGGUUGUGGAAUUCCCAGUGUAGAGGUGAAAUUCGUAGAUAUUGGGAAGAACACCGGUUGCGAAGGCGGCAACCUGGCUCGGAACUGACGCUGAGGCGCGAAAGCGUGGGGAGCGAACAGGAUUAGAUACCCUGGUAGUCCACGCUGUAAACGAUGUGUGCUGGAUGUUGGGUGAUUUUAUCAUUCAGUGUCNGAGCUAACGCGUUAAGCACACCGCCUGGGGAGUACGGCCGCAAGGUUGAAACUCAAAGGAAUUGACGGGGGCCCGCACAAGCGGUG
rnacentral:rRNA from 1 species